UAGUGUAAAAACACAGUGGACGCCGAUUUCCUGCUUACCGGCAGCCAGCGCCGAUCGGCGCCUAUAAGCUUCUAUAAUAAAUAAUGCUUUCAAGUUAGCAAUAACACAAUAGAGACAGGCUCAGGCUUGUUGGCGCUGGUAGUCGGCGUCACCGGUUUUACCGGAAUGAUUAUUUAGUUCUUUCUAGCCGGUUGUUCGUACAGGCAGACAGAUACAGCUAUGGAUAUAGAGAUUUUAAUAGCAUCAGUGUAUAAGAAAUGCCCAAUAUGGGAUAAGAAAAGUAAAUUACACAGCAAUAGAAAUGUUGUUGACAAAUGUUGGAAAGAAAUUGCUGAAGAAAUGAAAGAGGAUGAAAAUAAACUGAGGAAAAAAUGGAAGUAUAUCAGGGAUCAAUUUUCCGUAGAAUUAGGAAAAUUUCCUCCUCCACGUUCAGGUGAUGCCGCAAAUGAUACUCCGACAUCCAAGUGGCCAUACUUCAAACUGCUCUUAUUUUUGAAAGAUACGCUUUGCAGAAAGUCAAACUGAAGCAGAAGAGUCGAUUCAGUCAUCGAUGGAAUUAGACGAGACCAGCUUUUGUUCCACUGAAGAUGUUGUACCUCCUCAACGAAAUGCUGGCGAUGAUAUCGUAGAAAAUACAAGGCAAGAAAAUAUUGAAACACCUUCGAGAACAAAAAGGAAUACUGAUGUAUCUUCGACACCACAAUUUUCAUCUAAAAAGAAACGAGGCCCAACAGAAAUAUUUAACGACUCAUUAUUAGAAAUUGAGAAACAAAAAGUAGCAUACCUAGAGUCAAAAUCUAAGCGAGCAAAUGAGAAAGAAGAUGAACACCUCUUGUUUUUUAAAAGUCUUCUGCCUCAUGUGAAAAAAAUUCCUGAGUCACGCGUAUUAGCUUUUCGAUGCCGGGUUCAAGAGCUAGUUGAACAAUUUUCAUACCCGCUAAAUAGGUUCGAAUCUGUUCCAUCUACGAUCCUUGGUCCUUCAACUUCCAACUCAUCUAUUUCCAAUCAAUCACUGAAUUACAUCGAUAGAAAUCGUUUCACUGCAGAAGAAGAAUGUACAAGUCUCAUUUUAUCAAACAUGGAACAAGCUGAAACGGUUUCUGGUACUUCCGAAUGUCCCCCACCACUGUCCUUCUUUUUGAAAUAAAAAUUUAAUCAACCAUUUUAAGUCUUAUUUUUGUUGAAACAAAACCAACAUAUGUAAUUAUUUGCUAGACGUUUUGUUAAUAGUAAAUGAUUUGUUU